AAGUCGUAACAAGGUUUCCGUAGGUGAACCUGCGGAAGGAUCAUUAUGAAUCAGUAGCUUGCUACUGCGCUGGGGGAGAUGGGAAAGUCCUGGCUGAAAAGUCAGUGUACCGGUACCUGCACCCCUAUCAUACCCUUGUCUUUUGAGCACUUCUGUUUCCUUGGUGGGCUUGCCUGCCGAUAGGACAACUUUUAAACCUUUUAAUAUGUCAAUCAGCGUCUGAAAAAUAAUUAAUAAUUACAACUUUCAACAACGGAUCUCUUGGUUCUG
rnacentral:misc_RNA from 1 species